AUCCAAUAAAUCAGACUCUUCCAAAUAAGUAUAUGUCAGAUGAUAUAACUGUCUAGUUUAUCUGUGAUAUAUGUAUCCAAAUUAUCUAUGUUGUUAUAAAUGUGAACUGUAUCUCACCUGUAAGUGGUGUUAAUUUCCCCACAGCUCUUCCUUUCCAUAGUAUUAAGUAUGUCUUUGGCCCACUUGUAGUUUCUCAAGAAAGCAUGUUGAUACGGACAGCCCCUACUCUCAUAUAUGGUGUAUUGACCUUAGGCAAGAGAUGUGGUUUCUCUGAGCUCCAGAUAUGUCAUCUAUAAAAUUGGUGUUAACACCGUUUAUCUCAUAGGGUGCUAAGAAGAUUAAAGUACUGCCCAGAGUAGGCACUCAGUCAAGUUCUCUUUCCUCUCCUGAUACCUACCCCCAUCCUUUCCUCUAGGUUGCAUAUAGUUCUUUACUCCCAAAGGAGAUCACAGUAGAUAGAAAAUCCCAUGAAUGUCCUUGCUCUUCGUUGUUACCUCCCUCCCCCUCUAUCCCCCACACAUAAUGCCUUAGAUAUUCAGUAGGUUUUAUUGAUUAGAGGUGAACUUAUUUGGAAGGAAUAAAAAGACAAAGCAGGAGAAUGGUCAAGAACAUGAGUUUUAGAGUGAGACACUUGAGUUUGAAAUCCAGCCCAACCAUUUACUAGUUGUGUGACCUCUAUCAAGUUAUGCAACCUCUCUGUGCCUCAGUUUCCUUUUUGGCAAAUUGGUGCUAACACCUCACAGGACUAUUGUAAGGAUUAAGUUCAUGUAGAUAAAGCACUUAACACAGCAUCCGACA
rnacentral:lncRNA from 1 species